GGAUGUGAGGGUGAUCUGGCUGCGACCUCUGUCACCCCACUGAUCACCAGGGUUGGUUCAGCGGAUCUGGCUGGCAAGUCUGGUGUCCCUUCCUUCCUUCACAGCUCCAUGUGCGUCCCUCCUAAAGCUGCAUGCUCCAUCCAUCCUCAAAUAGAGGAGGACCGGUCUUUGGCCAAGGGAAUCAGGUAGCUUCGCUCUCCUGCUAGAACCUCCAAACAAGCUCUCAAGAAAAUGCCUUGCAGCCAGAUCUCAUGGAGGCAUCUUCUCAAGUGAGGUUCCCUCCUUUAAGAUAAAACCAGCCAGCACAGGCUGGCAUGGGGGUGGGGGGUAGGGGGCUGUCUUUUAUU
rnacentral:snRNA from 1 species